GCCCAGAUGGCGGAAUUGGUAGACGCGCUGGUCUCAAACACCAGUAGGUUCACCCCUGUGCCGGUUCGAUCCCGGCUCUGGGUA
rnacentral:tRNA from 2 species